UGGCGCGGGAGCUGGUGUGACAGAGCGCACGUAGCGAGGGCUGCGGCCGCCCCCUCUCCGGCGCGCCGGCGCGGCAGGGGAAUAUAAAAGGGACGCCUGGCUCCCUCUACUGCCCAGUCGCACUGCCAGCAGGCUGAGGGCGGCAGGGAGCUAGCUAGCGGGGACUGCAGGCGACAGGACUGACCCGAGCCGAGCUGUCGCCUUCCUCCCGGCCCGCUAUCCAGGUGUGUGAACCUGUGAAGUUCCCCAAGAUGAUCUGGGUUGUUUUAAUGAUGGCGAUUCUACUUCCUCAGUCUUUAGCCCAUCCAGGGUUUUUUACGUCAAUUGGUCAGAUGACUGACUUGAUCCAUAAUGAGAAAGACCUGGUGACAUCACUAAAAGAUUAUAUUAAAGCAGAAGAGGACAAGUUAGAGCAAAUCAAAAAAUGGGCAGAGAAGUUAGACCGGCUAACGAGUACAGCAACAAAAGACCCAGAGGGGUUUGUUGGGCAUCCUGUAAACGCAUUCAAGUUAAUGAAACGUCUGAACACUGAGUGGAGUGAGUUGGAGAAUCUGAUCCUCAAGGACAUGUCGGAUGGCUUCAUCUCUAACCUAACCAUUCAGAGGCAGUACUUCCCUAAUGAUGAAGAUCAGGUUGGAGCUGCUAAAGCUCUGUUUCGGCUGCAAGACACCUACAAUCUGGACACAAAUACCAUCUCAAAGGGGAAUCUUCCAGGAGUGCAACAUAAGUCUUUCCUGACAGCCGAGGACUGCUUUGAGCUGGGCAAAGUGGCCUAUACAGAGGCAGAUUAUUACCACACAGAACUGUGGAUGGAGCAGGCUCUGACGCAGCUGGAGGAGGGAGAGCUGUCUACUGUAGAUAAAGUCUCUGUUCUGGAUUACCUGAGCUAUGCGGUGUACCAGCAGGGAGACCUGGAUAAGGCGCUUCUCCUCACCAAGAAGCUUCUUGAGCUAGAUCCUGAACAUCAGAGAGCUAAUGGUAACUUAGUAUAUUUUGAAUAUAUAAUGAGUAAAGAAAAAGAUGCCAAUAAGUCAGCGUCGGGCGACCAAUCUGAUCAGAAAACUGCACCAAAGAAAAAAGGGAUAGCUGUGGAUUACCUGCCAGAGAGACAGAAGUACGAAAUGCUGUGCCGUGGGGAGGGUAUCAAAAUGACUCCCCGGAGACAGAAAAGACUGUUCUGCCGCUACCAUGAUGGGAACCGGAAUCCUAAGUUCAUCCUGGCCCCAGCCAAGCAGGAGGACGAGUGGGACAAGCCCCGGAUUAUCCGUUUCCAUGACAUCAUCUCUGACGCGGAGAUUGAGAUUGUCAAAGACUUAGCAAAACCAAGGCUGAGGCGAGCCACCAUUUCAAACCCAGUAACAGGAGCCUUGGAGACGGUACAUUACAGAAUUAGCAAAAGCUGAGCCGAGCUACAGUACAUGACCCUGAGACGGGGAAAUUGACCACAGCACAGUACAGAGUAUCUAAGAGUGCUUGGCUGUCUGGCUACGAAGACCCUGUGGUAUCCCGAAUUAAUAUGAGAAUACAAGAUCUCACAGGACUGGAUGUUUCUACGGCCGAGGAGUUACAGGUAGCAAAUUACGGAGUUGGAGGACAGUAUGAGCCCCAUUUUGACUUUGCAAGGAAAGAUGAGCCGGAUGCCUUUAGAGAGCUUGGGACAGGAAAUAGGAUUGCCACGUGGCUGUUCUAUAUGAGCGAUGUGUCUGCUGGAGGAGCUACUGUUUUUCCUGAAGUGGGAGCCAGUGUUUGGCCCAAAAAAGGCACUGCUGUCUUCUGGUAUAAUCUGUUUGCCAGUGGGGAAGGAGAUUACAGUACACGGCAUGCAGCCUGUCCCGUGCUAGUUGGAAACAAAUGGGUAUCCAACAAAUGGCUCCAUGAACGUGGACAAGAAUUUCGAAGGCCGUGCACCCUGUCAGAAUUGGAAUGACAACCAGGCUUCCCUUGGCUCCUGUUGUCCUCUAACGCACCAGGCACGAUGGCUGAUUAUAACUCCGACGUUUACAGCUGACUAACACUCCAUGAUUAAUUGGGCCAUGAGCCUCAGCCCCAUGUCUCACCUGUGGACAAUCACUUAUUUUGUGGAUUUCUUUAAUUAAUACUCAAUCACCACAUGAUGUAAAACUUAUGGUUCAGUUUUCACAGGAUACAAGGCAUUGAAAAUGAGGAACCUAAUUUUGUUGUUUAAAAGAGCUUUUUGGUUAAUUUUUUUAAAAAAAGCAUCCAGAAGUAGAUUUCACCACAAGUCAGGAGCUGGUGGAGCAGGCGAGGCUGUGUGGCAGGCGUGCAGGUGGCAGGCGAGCAGAGCCUGUGGGCUUACAGACGGCAGGCAUGCAGACGCCAGUGUGCUGCUCUUCCGAUGUGUGGACUGCUGAGCACUGGUAACUAACUAGGGCCCAGUCAGGUCUGCUAUUCCACGUGCAGAGUUCCUAUUAUUUAAAGAAACUCUUUUUAUCAAAUCCCCCUCCUCACCACGGGUGAAUUCAGCCAGUUUGAGAAAAUUACUUUGUUCAAAAAGUCCUGCAGAACUGGCCUCCCAACCGAGUGCUCAGCCUUCGCCCUUUUCCUCAGUGACUGCAGGUUGUCCAGAGACUGUUCCAAGUGCCAAUCAGCUGCAGCAGGCACUGGUGUUGGCAUUCUGAUUCAAUUCUGUGCCUUAGGAGACUGGGAGUUAGAAAACGGACAGGUCCUUGGACUGAGGGAGUUGAUUUUUAAAAAGAAAUGUUUUAUAAGAAGCCAAGAUGUUUGUUUUUCUCCAUUCUGAAAUGUGUUAUAACAAUGACCUAUUUAUGAUCUUAAAUCUUUUUUUUUUAAAAAGUCUCUGUGUGGUAUUUUCAUGUUUAAAUCCAAAUGUAAGAAUUGAGCACUGCUCCCAGGCCCGUUCUAAUUUACUUCUUUACUGCACAGAGCUUAGAUUUACUACUCACGGUUAGACCUUCGUCACCCAGAACAGGCUCCCUUGGGAUAAGCUUCGGGGAAUUUGUUCCAGGAUGGUGAGGCUUUGGUGUGUGUUGUUACAGUGAAGACCCUGCAGUUCCUCAGAACUGCAGUUCAGAAGCAGGGGCGUGGUCUCGGCCCUGCACUUGAUGAAUAUGAAGGAAUUCUUUACACGGGGCUCCGGCUCAUUUUAAUUCUCCAAGAAAGUAGAUAUUAAAAUGAGCUGUGUCCAUCACAAGGAUUUUAGCAAAAAAAAAAAAAAAAAAAAAAAAAAAGUCAAAGAUUAAGGUCAGCAAUUUAAGCUGAUUGUGUAACCAAACUGUUUUAAAAAACAACAGGCUGGAAAUGGUAGGCCCAUAUCUUUGGUCCUAGCACUUAGGAGGCAGCAGCAGCAGAAUCUCUCUGAGUUCAAAGACAGCCUGGCCUACAUAGUGAGUUCUGGGUCAGUCAGGGCUACAUAGAAAGAUCCCAUCUCAAAAACAGGCAAAAGAAAUUCUUUUAGGCUAGUUUUAUAGCUUAGUCAGAGCACCAGUGUGAGUCCCUGGGUUCCAUUCCCACUACCAAAGCCCUGUAUUCUAGCUAACAUGAAAGCAACAGAUUUUACAAGUAAAAUAGGGAUUUCAAGGCUAAAAAACAGUUCUGUCACAAGGUGUUAGCAAGCAGCUUGUAAGUUAGGAAGCUAACAUAUGCAUCAGCCUGCCUAUAUCCUGAGUACUGAUGAGAAAGUGGGGACUUUGUUGAAACCAGCAAUGGCCUAUAAACACGUGAGGAAACACUCCAUCUCUGGGCCUUUAAGAAGAUCAGCAGUGUUAACCCAGGGUCCUAUCAGGACAAUAAAGUUGCCUAGAAUGUGUGAGAUCUGUUAUUAUGGAAAAGUUCCUCAAAAUUCAAUUUCCUAUCAUCUGUUUCUGGAUAUGAAAUGAAGACAGGGGUGGAAUGUUUAUACCAGUGCUCAUAACAGGAUUGUUUGUAAUCACCAUAAAGAGGAAGCAACCUAAGUUCAGAAACAGGUGAGUGGAGAAAUGAUGGCAUGUGCAUUAGAAAAAUAUCCACAGCCAAUUCAUCCCACUCAACAUGGAUGAACCCACUUACAGGAGAUCCCUAGAGGAGCCAAUGGUGCCUGAGCCGAGAUGAGACACUUGGAGUUAGUAUUUAAUGGGUGUGUUGCACAGCAAUGUAAUACAUUUACUGUGAUCUAAAUACA